ACUGUUGAGGCCCUUGUUGGCCAGCAGCCCCAGCUUGGUAAUAGAUGUCCAAGAACUUCAGGAGUGGCUCCUAAGAUUUCUGCACUGAUCUGUUUUAGCUUGAUCAAUGGUGGCACUGAAAAGGUUUGGAAUCCACAUGUACAAGUUCUCGUGCUGGCCCUUUGAGGAUGGAAGGCAUUCGAUGAGGAGGGGAUGAUCUCUAAGAUUUUGAGACAAAUGAUUCAUGGUGGCCUCAAUGUCAAGAAAGGAGGAGAUGGUUCUCAGCAGCAACAGCAGCAGCCAACACAGAAGUGUAAAUUCUUGGAGGCCCUGAUUGGCCUGCAAUGCUUCCCCAAAUUUUUGCGUACUCUCCACACCCUGACAAUGCCUGCAAUGAAGCUCCUCUGUUUGGUAAUGAUGGACUUUCUCUUUGGUGCUUGGAAUUUAUGGCAGAAAUUCAGAAAAUGUCCCUUAUCUACUUUGCUGUGCUUUUCUUCGAUCCUUCCUUGUACCGAAGCCUACAUGGUAGUCACACCAACUCCCUGAGGUCUCUGCUCGGACAACACCACCUCUGAGGAGAUUCCCUGUCUGGACUGGAUAGGCUGUUCUUCCAGGCUGUGUAGGAGUCACCACCUUCUCAAGACCAAAGGCUCCUAAAGGACAGGCAAGACUCACCUUUUUUGUGAAAUCAGUUUCCUGACCAAGAUGAGGAAACUGAGGCCCAUAGAAGUGAAGAAACUCACCUGAGAUUUUGCAAUCUGCAAGAGGAGAAGCUGGAAUUUGCAUAUAGGUUGUUUGGUCCUGGAAUCCAAGGUUUUAAUCAUUAUUCUAUGUUGCCUCCCAAGGUGAUGGAGUAUUCUUAACCCUUGAGGCUUUUCAUUCCCCUGGAAAGAUGAGGUAUGAGUGUGGGAAAGAUUCAGCUAGAGGCAGGGGGUGAAACAAUGGAGGUAGAGAAUAGAGUGAUGACUUCAGAAAACUGGGUGUUCUAAGUCAACUCUGUAUAUGUGGGGGGACGCUCUGCACAGAGAGGUAGAGAGGGUUCUAACCCAGGAAAAAAGCAGGAGUAUGGGCAGCCUGGAUGGUGUGGCGGUUUAGCACCGCCUUCAGCCCGGGUUGUGAUCCUGGGGACCAGGGAUCAAGUCCCACGUUGGGCUCCCUGCAUGGGGCCUGCUUCUCCCUCUGCCUGUGUCUCUACCUCUCUCUCUG